rnacentral:rRNA from 1 species
UACGAAGGUUCCAAGCGUUAUCCGGAUUUAUUGGGUUUAAAGGGUGCGUAGGCGGGUUAUUAAGUCAGUGGUGAAAGCUCCCAGCUUAACUGGGAAACUGCCAUUGAUACUGAUAGUCUUGAGUAUGAUUGAAGUGGGCGGAAUGUGUCAUGUAGCGGUGAAAUGCUUAGAUAUGACACAGAACACCGAUUGCGAAGGCAGCUCACUAAGCCAUAACUGACGCUGAUGCACGAAAGCGUGGGGAGCAAACAGG